rnacentral:rRNA from 2 species
UGAGGGGGGCUGCUCCUAGUACGAGAGGACCGGAGUGGACGCAUCACUGGUGUUCGGGUUGUCAUGCCAAUGGCACUGCCCGGUAGCUAAAUGCGGAAGAGAUAAGUGCUGAAAGCAUCUAAGCACGAAACUUGCCCCGAGAUGAGUUCUCCCUUGGACUUUAAGUCCACUGAAGGAACGUUGAAGACGACGACGUUGAUAGGCCGGGUGUGUAAGCGCAGCGAUGCGUUGAGCUAACCGGUACUAAUGAACCGUGAGGCUUAACCUUACAACGCCGAAG